UCAGCUGACUUGAGAAGAGCAAAAGGAGCCAGCAAAGCAAAACACCCCAGCCAGCCAUGGCCCUCUGCAGGGGUCACAGAAGCCCAGCCCAUGAGCCAGGCCCACCAGAGACGCUCUCAGGAAGGCCAACGGAGGCAGAGGUGAAGGACUCCACUGCCCAUCCAGGAGGAGGCCCCUUCUCCCCCUGCAGCCCAGCCCCGGCUAUUAUUUAUAUUUUUCUUGAGCAGUAUAUCAAAUCCUCUCUCUAUUCACUGUGCAAACAGGCAGAGGGAGCUAAGCUCUGGGUUAGGGCUUUAUUGCUCCUUCUCUGUAACUAUUAUAGGGGCUGAGCUCCCUUGACUUGACAGGUGGGCAGCACCCCGGAGAGCACAGGGAUGUGAAAUGGGCCUUCCAGUGACUCAGGUGCAAACUCAGGAGCUACGCAGCCACUGGGAGCCCACAGUGACGGGGUCCCCUGGUGUCACAUUUCCUGGGAGUUAGCCCCAUCAGGACUGACGCUCAAGCGUACCUCUGCUCCAGGUGAUGUGUGGCAAGAAAGGUGAGAAGCCAAGGAUCUAGCUGUGCUCAGGGUCUGCAUUUCAUGCCACCAUCUACCAACUUGCCAAGCCCAGACACCCUCCUGAAACGCUCCUCACUGUGGGAGGCACCAGGAAACCAGAGGGCCCAGGAGUCUUGCUGCUGUGACCCAUGUCGACCGCCCUCUAGGGGAAGAGCUAAAGGUGAUGCGAUGAGGAAAGAUCUCCCCUCUACUGCGGACCUCUAAAUUAAACCAACGAAGGACAGAUGGAGAGCGAAGCACAGAAAUUUUACUUAUGUUAAUAUUUUUCCAUGGCACAGGGUCCUUCGUAGAAAAGAAAUGAAGACCCCCACAGGGGAUUCAGCCUGAGAGCUCAUAUACCAUUUCAGCCAAGAACAAUCAGUUGUGGAGAUGUGACCAGAUUAAAGCAAAGGGGUUUCAGGCUUCAACAAUAAAUUGUGGGAAAGCAACUAGGAAAUUUGUGGGGAAAAACAAUGAAAGAUAAGGACGAUUUUAGUAGAUUUGUUUGUACAGAUUUGACUUGACAUCAACUACCCAUUUCCAGUGACAGAAAAGUUCUCUUCCUGGUUCAGGGAAGGAGGCACCUUUCACAAUGGGGAAUCUACGCCUCCUGGAAGAAGGCAAAGAGUCUUACCUGCAUCUGCUGUUUCUCAAAUUUCAGCUCAAAAUAAGCAGUAUGUCCAAGUGUGAUAUUUGGGGUGGCAUGCCAGGGGCAGAUCUGCAGGGGCACAGUGCCCUUCUUCUGUGGCCCACGGUAUUGUGCACACCUCUGAAAUCCACACCCACUCCUGAACUCUAAUUGCUGAACUGCUUCUCUCCCUCCUUAGUCUGUCUGCUGUUUGAAAAGGAGUUGGGCCUUUCACCUCUUUUCCCCAGUGGCUACUACAGUGCCUGGCAUAUGACAUGAAUGCAAUAAGUAUUCUCUAAAAUGAAAUAAAAAUGUGAUUGUGCACAGUGCCAGAACUGUUGGAGACCUCAGAGGUGGUUUAGUCUACUCUUCUCAUUUCCAACAUGAAAAAAAAAAAAACUGUCACCUGGAGGCAAAUGGCUGUGUCCAAGCAUUACUAUGAAUAGCAGUAAACUCAGGACUAGAUUUUCAUUUUUCUGAUUCCAGGUUUCCUCUACUCCUUAAUUUUAACUGCAAUCUCAGGUUGUUCCUUGGAACGAGAACUCAUACAAGUUUCCCAUAAAACCCAGAGUCGUAUGUUUUGGCAACAAGAGCGAGACAGCGAGAAGGGUUGGAUCUGCCUGCUUUGAUUCCUUUGCCAAAAACAACUUCUGAGUUCUCUGGAUAGCACACUUGCAAACCUCGCAAAGUGCCACAAGUUGGAGUCAUGAAACGAAGUGUGGAGCCUGAGAAUAACUCCUUCGCACAGACUACCUCUGGUGGUGGGUGGUGAGGUUUUUUUUUUUUUUCUUUAACAUCCUAUUAGCACAUUAUCUUUAGUUUCCAGAGCCUUUCUUGGUUCCAAACUUACAGGUGGUGAUGGUGAGUGGGAGAUUGAGUAAGAUGUUCCUUAGUCGGGAGGCAAAGCUGUUGGUCCCUCCUCAUGCCACGGUUCAGCCAUUGGCCACAGCUGCUGCUGCUGCUGCUGCUGCAGCUUUCUUCCAGGCAAAUGCAAUCACUGCUUCUGAAAUGUGUGCAUGCCAGGAGCAAGAGUCAGGAGCACUCAUCAUCCUGGACCAGAAUCACCUGUUUACCUAUCUGCCCUCACCCCACUGUGUGCUCUUGAAAUCCUUGGUUAUGUCUUCUGUCUAGGUAGCCUGAAUCCUGGUCAAGUGUCCAAUUUUGCAUUCUUUGGUAACCCCCAAAGGAAGAAGAAAAUGUUGGGUGGCUUUGAGAACGUGGAUUCAGUGGCGAGGAGCUAGAUGACAAGACCUGGCCGCCUUCUGAGCCCUCAUGAAUAGAGGGUGCUCCUCCCACCACCAAGUGGCCGAUGUGAUGAUCUAAGAAGAUUGUGCACUUGCAACUCCUGUGAGGAGUUGUAUGAUCAUACAACUUUGGGUAAGUUAAGCCACGUUGGAUCCUCAUCGUCCUCAGCAGUAAAAUGAGCACUCUAACUCUGAAGGUCUUUUCGUGCUCUGAAAUUCUACUGGAUUCCCUUACCAUCAGAUACCCACCUCUCUCCUCUUGGACAGAGGAGAAGCCAAUCCACUAAAAGAACAAAGAGAAAACUAUAUGGAUGAUGUAGGAUCGCAACCAAUUUUGCUCCUGCCAAAAGAAAACCCACACUGCAUAUUUGAGUUUUUCAGAGGACAUGUACUGUUUGAAAAUCAUCUUCUGUCUUGCAUUUAAAAAAAAAUUUUUUUAAGAAGAAGAAAAAGACAAGUGGGAGAGGCAUAAACAUUCUGCACAUAACUUUUCUACUUAUAGACAGAUUUUUUUGAUGCUUUUUUUCUCUCUCUCUCUCUCGCUGGAGGUGUGAGGGAGGAUUCCCAUAGCUGGAGGAGGGUGGAAGUCAGGGGACUGUGGGAGAAGGCAAGUGUGAUCGUGGGACUACACUUAA